rnacentral:lncRNA from 1 species
CCUCUUUGAAGAUGAAAACAAUUCAACAACCUUCUUCUCCAUGCCUUUCAGAAUGAAUUUCUUCUUCUCCCGGAUUUUUCUUUCAAUUCUUGGCUGAAGUUUCAAGCUGUGAUCACUCCAGGGACCUCAGAAAAGCUCAAGACCCAAGGCUAAUUUUAUUAAUAAAGCCAGCCUUGUGGAAUCUCUAAGAAUUAAUCAUUAGACUCUUUUCAAAGUUAUCUAUUAAUGACCUGAAAAAAGACAAAGACAACCUCAUCUGAUGUGUGCAUAGCCCAAGGGAGAGGCAAUGGGAGAUAUUGUAAUGCAAUCUCCCAGACCCCAAAAAAGAUGCCGACAAACUAGAAUGAUGAGCUAGCUACAUUGGAGUGGAUUUUCCUUGUAGAGGAAAUUAAAUCUGAGCAGAAUCCUAAAAGAUACUUUUCCUGUGAAGAAAAUGAAGACAUUUAAGCUGUUGUAGGGAUUGGAAACACCGGGGAGACCUGAUUUCUGUCUUCAAAGUUGAGAAGGCCACAGAUCCCCCAUUUGGCAUCAUAAAGCACGCGCUCAUGGACAAAAGAAACCAGAUUCAACUGCAGAGUUACAGCCUGCAGUGGCAGUGGUAGUGACGGGCAUUGUGGUGAGACUGACGUUUGCUCUCAGUAAGGGACUUUGGACAGCAGGUGUGCCCUGCCAGGUUUCCUUCAUUAGGCAGGGGUUUCCAGAGGAGCUACUCUACCUGAGAAGCAAAAGUGACCAAGACAGAGGAACUUCUUCUCUCCUAAUCGUGCACUUCAGAGGAGGAGAUACAUGAUAGUACCCAGGUAAAUGCAUGCAUAAACAGCCCAUAAUAGUACAGAGAUAAACACAAGCAUAGAUAGUACAGAAUCAUAUAUAGGUAAGCACAUGCAUAUCCAGUAUAUAAUAGGACACA